UACGGAGGGGGCUAGCGUUGUUCGGAAUUACUGGGCGUAAAGCGCACGUAGGCGGAUUGGGAAGUUGGGGGUGAAAUCCCGGGGCUCAACCCCGGAACUGCCUCCAAAACUCCCAGUCUGGAGUCCGAGAGAGGUGAGUGGAAUUCCGAGUGUAGAGGUGAAAUUCGUAGAUAUUCGCAAGAACACCAGUGGCGAAGGCGGCUCACUGGCCCGAUACUGACGCUGAGGUGCGAAAGCGUGGGGAGCAAACAGG
rnacentral:rRNA from 1 species